rnacentral:rRNA from 1 species
GAUGAAAGUCUGGGGUGCCUCGCAAGAGGAGCCUGGAGACAGGUGUUGCAUGGCUGUCGUCAGCUCGUGUCGUGAGAUGUUGGGUUAAGUCCCGCAACGAGCGCAACCCUCACGUGAUGUUGCCAGCGUAAAGACGGGAACUCUUCACGAACUGCCCGUGUAAGCGGGAGGAAGGUGGGGAUGACGUCAAGUCAGCAUGGCCCUUACGUCCUGGGCUUCACACAUGCUACAAUGGGCGCGACAGAGGGCAGCGAACCCGCGAGGGGGAGCCAAUCCCACAAAGGCGCUCUCAGUUCGGAUUGCAGGCUGCAACUCGCCUGCAUGAAGUCGGAAUCGCUAGUAACCGCCGGUCAGCUAAACGGCGGUGAAUACGUUCCCGGGCCUUGUACACACCGCCCGUCACGUCACCUGAGUCUG